UUUCCGUAGGUGAACCUGCGGAAGGAUCAUUACAGAGUUCAUGCCCGAAAGGGUAGACCUCCCACCCUUGUGUAUUAUUACUUUGUUGCUUUGGCGAGCUGCCUCCGGGCCUUGUAUGCUCGCCAGAGAAUACCAAAACUCUUUUUAUUAAUGUCGUCUGAGUACUAUAUAAUAGUUAAAACUUUCAACAACGGAUCUCUUGGUUCUG
rnacentral:misc_RNA from 1 species